CGCCUGCCUCUGCCUCCCAGAGUGCUGGGAUUACAGGCGUGCGCCACCGCCCGGCUUGGCUCUUUCUUGGAUAUAAAUAGAUGCCAUGCACACGCCCCUCGUGGCUCCUCUACGCAAUGAGUGCAUUUCUGCUUCUACCUGCCACGUUCUCUAAAACUAGCACACAGUGCUUUUGGAGUUUUGCUACAUAAGCCAGGAAACUUAAGAGUGUGUGCAUGAAUGAGCACACACACACACACACACACACACACACUGAGGUCCCACAUCCAGGCCCUACUCAAAGUCUGAAACAGCUGACAGGAACCCCCUGAAUGAACUAUGAAAUCUCAGAGAUGAACCCUCAGUUGGGAGAAGUUAGAGGGAUCCAGGGAGACCCCAGACCAGGCAGGGAGACCCCAGGACUGGCAGGGAGACCCCAGGACUGGCAGGGAGACCACAGACGAGGCAGGGAGACCCCAGGACUGGCAGGGUGACCCCAAGACUGGCAGGGAGACCACAGACCAGGCAGGGAGACCCCAGGACUGGCAGUGUCUUAGUCAGGGUUUCUAUUGCUGUGAUCAAACACCAUAACCAAGAAUCAAGCUGGGGAGGAAAGGGUUUAUUCAACUUAUUCCACACUGCUGUUCAUCACCAAAGGAAGUCAAGCAGGGCAGGAACCUGGAGGCAGGAGCUGAUGCAGAGGCUAUGAAGGGGUGCUGCUUACUGGUUUGCUCCCCAUGGCUUGCUCAGCCAGCCUUCUUAUAAAACCCACCUUGGGCUGGGCCCUCCCUGCUUGAUCACUAAUUGAGAAAAUGCCUUACAGCUGGGUCUCAUGGAGGCACUUCCUCAACGGAGGCUCCUUCUUCUCUGGUGACUCUAACUUGUAUCACAACAAACCAGGCAGUACAAACAGGGCGAAGCCAGGCCAUGUGCCUCAAGGAGGGUGCUCCUCAGUUUGUGGUCACAGUUUCCACAGAUCGUUUCCUGCCGUGCUCUGUGCUCCCUGCGCAGAAUUUGUGUUCAGGUGCUUGGGACCUUUUCCUUUCUGUGUCUGCAUUUCCCCCAACUGUCCCUACACUUAAAAGAUUUCUAAUUCCCUGCUUCUAGAAAGGAGACAUCACUCUGUUUGUACAACACAGGAGUAGCCACAGCAGGUGUGUGUGUGUGGGAGGGUGGAUUAUCAAUAUCAAUAUGGCGCUGCUGGAGAGCAACAGUCGGAACCAGCCAUUUUAAUUUCCGUUGACAAAACAAGAAAAUGUUAGUUUCUAUUAGGUCCCUGAAUCUACAGGAGAAAAGUCCUUGUAAAUCAGUGUCCUUAUUUUCGUUCACACCUCAGGUCACAUCUGUGCACAUCUGUGCACACAGCUACUGUGUGACUUUGUGUCACUCUAGGAGUAAGUGUGUAUCUAGCUUUCAAAGAACACGGUAACACUUAAUACACUCAUACACAAAACCUAAAUGUAAUGGACGGGGGAGGGGUAAAAUCUAAAUGUAGAAACAGAAGGCUACCAGGAAAGGGAAAUAUUGUUUCCCACUUAAAAGAUGUGUCAAUAUACCUGGGUAUGGUGACACAUACCUGUAAUACCAGCACUUGGGAAACUGUGGCAGGAGGACCACAAGUUCAUGGCCACCUAGGGCUACAAGGCAAAAAGACCCUAGCUCAAAAAAGGAAACAAAACAAAACAAAAAUGAAAACAAAAACAAAACAGUGUUUACUAAGUUCAACAUAGGGAGCUGGAGAAAUGGCUCAGGGGUUAACAGCACCUGCAGGAAAACUCUGGUACAGCACCCUGGUUCAAUUCUCAGCACCCACAUGCUGGCUUACAACCACCCAUAACUCCAGUUCCAGGGGAUCUGACAUGUUUUCCUGAACCCGUAGGGCAUUAAGCACAUACAAGGUAUACAUACAUACAUGCGGGCAAAACAUACACAUAAAAAAGCAAAUGUUAAAAAAAAAGACUAAGAGGCCAAAAACCAAGCUGGAGAGAUGGCUCAGUGGUUAAGAGCACUGGCUGCUCUUCCAGAGGACCCAGGUUCAAUUCCCAGCACUCAUGUGACAGUUCACAGCUGUCUGUAACUCCAGUUCUAGGGACUCUGUUGCCCUCACACAGACAUACAUUCAGUCAAAACACCAAUGAACAGAAAGUAAAAAAUAAAUUAAUUUUAAAAAAGAGGCCAAAAAUGGAAUAAGGCUAGAAUUUACUGUCCAGUGAAGGCAACACCUCUCUAAAAAAUCAAGGGAUCCUCAUGUGCGUGUGUAAACACCAGGGAGGUCCCACGCACUUUUUAAAUUUCCAUUUUCCUGAUAUUUAAUUUUCUCCUUUCUAGGAGCACAGAAAUUCAUUUUAUAAAGCAAAUCUGUUGAUAGGACUUAAAUAAGCCUUGGGAAUCACUUUCUUACUAACACUCCUUACAGUGUUAACACCUCUUCUGUAGGAGUCUUGCCUGUGGGUGUAUCCCACCAGAAACACCAUUUGUUAGUUUCCGGAAGCUGCAAUUUUCAUCAUGCCUUUGCCCUCAUUGUGAAUGGGGCGGGGCAUCAGAGUUGACCUACAGAUGGUGCCCCUGGGACAUCCGAGGUGACCUACAGAUGGUGCCCCGUGGGACAUCCGAGGUGACCUACAGAUGGUGCCCCGUGGGACAUCCGAGGUGACCUACAGAUGGUGCCCGUGGGACAUCCGAGGUGACCUACAGAUGGUGCCCGUGGGACAUCCGAGGUGACCUACAGAUGGUGCCCGUGGGACAUCCGAGGUGACCUACAGAUGGUGCCCGUGGGACAUCCGAGGUGACCUACAGAUGGUGCCCGUGGGACAUCCGAGGUGACCUACAGAUGGUGCCCGUGGGACAUCCGAGGUGACCUACAGAUGGUGCCCGUGGGACAUCCGAGGUGACCUACAGAUGGUGCCCGUGGGACAUCCGAGGUGACCUACAGAUGGUGCCCGUGGGACAUCCGAGGUGACCUACAGAUGGUGCCCGUGGGACAUCCGAGGUGACCUACUGGUGGUGCCCCGUGGGACAUCCGAGGUGACCUACUGGUGGUGCCCCAGCAGCUGGGCCAAGGCCAUAGCUGUUGUGUGAUCCAUUCAUAACUGUGUCCUUCACUUGUGGAACAUGGUGGCUCCCCAAGGACUGGCCAGGGAGAGGGACAGAUGGGACUUCUUCACGGGUGAGAGGUGGGUUUCAAGUUCCUUACUUCUAAGUCUGGAGGCUGCAGAAUCCAGAGUGGUUUCAUAAUAUCUUUCUGAAUCUUAGAUGUCUGACAUGUUGUCUGGCUGGAAGUAAGAGAAUAUUCCUACUCAGCUCUCAAAGUUAUCCUGAUCCUCCAGGCCUCGCAGACCCCACCUCACCGUUCCCUUAAUCUCCUACCCUCUGUCCCCCACUUCCUGGACAUUCUCACGAAUAUUAAGCAACUGUUAGAAAUUGGGACAACAACCUGGGGUGGGCCAGUCAUAGCUCAGUGUAGUCCCUCUGUCUCUUCCUACUAUGUGGACAGAUGUGUGUGAUAUCAGCAUUCUUAUUCAUGUCUGCACAUGUGGAGGUCAGAGGUCAACACGAGGUAGCUGUCAUUCUCUACCCAUGCUCUCCCCCCCAACCCCUUUUCCCCGAGACAGGGUUUGUCAUCAGGUCUAGAUCAUGCCAUGUCAGCUAGACUGGCUUGUGAGCGAGCUCUGAGACCCUCCACGUCUGUCCCCAUUCCUAGGGUACAGAGCAGGCUGCCCUAGAUUUUAUACGGGUGUUAGGGAUCUGAACUCGGGUCUUUUGAGCUUGUUAGGCAAGCACUUUCCAACUGAGCCAGUUCACCAGCUCCAACAGAUACUAUUUCUAUUUUAAUCACGUUGAGUCAGCCUCCAGCCUUUUCCCCCCCUUCCAGGACACCUUCGUGGUGGGUGGGGCAUGGGGUAUACUUUAUGUCUUUGAAACAGGAUCUCUCACUAAACCUAGAGCUUGUUAAUUAGGUUAGACCAGCCGGCCAUCAAGACCCAAGUUUCUUCCUGUUUCUUCCUCACUAGUGUAGGGAUGAUAGAAGUGGUCCUUAACCUGUGGGUUAUAACCUCUUUGGGGACCGAUCAGUCCUUUCCCAGGGGUCGCCUAAGACCAUCUACAUAUCAGAUACUUACAUUACAAUUCGUAACAUGUCAUCACUACACUAAAAAUAAAACGAGCCAUGAUUCUUUAAAAAACAACCAAGUCCCCCGAUGGAGCUGUGGGAUUUGUCUCCUCCUAGUCUGAAGUAUCGUCCACA